UUUCUUCGGGAUUAGAUAGGGGAUAGAGAGCCGGGAGAGAGGGAAUAGAGAAAGAGAAGACUAGACUCGUCGCCGCCGAGGGUAGGAGAGGGAGUCUAGCUCGAGGCGGGGCUACACCUUCUUCCGGAGCGGCGGGUCUACACCUCCUUCCGGAGCGGCGGGGCAGCUAAACGUACGCUCGAGGUGGGGCUUCAUCUCCUGUACCAUGCGCCUGAAGAUAGACACGCGUAGAUCGGUACCUCUACCUCCCGAGCGGGGAGAGCGCGUAGAGGAGGCGUGUCUCGCGAUCGUCGGGUGUACCGCAUCUAGGCGGUAGAGCAGUCAGGGUGCGCGGCCGGUGGCCACCGAUGGCGUGACAAGACAAGUAGGGGGCGGGCGGCGUGCGCUGCCGGGUGUGACGGUACAACAAAACGACGUCGGUCUGGCGGCGGGGACGGGAGCGCGUGGCCCGUCUCCGAGCAAGAAGGACCACCAACAAGUGAGAACCGCUGAUGCGCAAGGAGGGCCACCACCGCGAGACGUGUGACGAAGCGGAAAGAGGGUCUCCGACGGCAAGCCGGGGAUGGAGAUUGGUUAACUAAGUCGUUGUGUCUGUCUGCACCUAAGAUCAUGUUACAGACCCUUUUUUCGACCAUGUGGAGAUUUGAAACAUUAUAGACCCUCUCCUACUGAUUAGAUUAUAAUAGGUUGUAUGUACAAACAACAGGAACUGGACCUACGGCUACUGUGAGAAAAAGUAAGUCAAACUUCAACCAAACGUAACAAAGACGUUUUCUUAAAACAGACUUACAGUAUUUUUUGUACAACUAUACAGUAAUAUCUUAAAACAACGAAGACAACCUUGGACGUAAUAGUUAAAAUGUCGUACGUUUUCAAUGAUGAUUGUCCAAUGUACGACCAAAAACUGACAAAUCCAAAGCUGAAACCUAUAGACUUGUUUAAUAUAUACCUCUAAAGAAGAUAAUAUUAUCUUCAAUUUGAAUGGUUUUCUUGUCUCCUACAAAAUUUAUUCUCGUAACAGAAGAUACGAUAAAUGUUACAGUUUUACCAUACGAUCAAAAGACUUAGAAUUAGGUCGUUGUUAUUUAUCAAAAACUGGCGUUCAAGACUUAAAAUUAUUACUACCAACUUUACUUACCUUGGAUAUAGGACCGAACGGUGAUGAUAUAACAACGAAGAAUAUUUUGUGAAUGCGUGUCUACCAAAGAGAACCAAUAGUAUUCACUUGUAAAAACACUAUUAAAAGAGAAACAAAAAAUCACCCCUUCCUUUCGAAGUUCUAUAAGGUAAAUUUCGCGACCAUAGAUAAACUUUUAAUUACAUACACGUAUGGAGGAACUAGGGUUGUCAUAAACACAUGACAUAUCCUUAGGACUCGUCAUCGUUCAGUCCACGAAUUACCACUAGGAUGGCACGUAUAACGUAUUCGUUCAAUCAAGAUUUUUCCAUUAACAAUUAAGCGGGCGCAGGCAGGGCGAUAACGGUGUUGAGUAGAACGUAUUCACAAGGAUAUUCAACCAUGUUUCUAAACUGGCACUUACUUGAAGUAUGUCUAUUGUGUCAUCAAACACGUGUUGGUAUAACGGAAAAGAGCGUAUUAUACUUUUGUAGUUUUAAUUGGUCUCUUCACUUAUAUAGAAGAGAUUGUGACAGGUGUACAAGGAGACAGUCAAACCUAGUAUUCUUCAACUUGAUAGUCUUCGUGUACCAGAAGGUGUAGUAAAACCGUGGAAUGGACACCCACAGGUGCUGUUGUUAAAAACGCCCGAACCUACACCGUGGUGCCCGUGGGUUAGCGUCGAACUUAACGAUCACGAAUCACGUCACCCUAGUCUCCUACCAGUAGUUAUCAAUUGUGUGCGGUCGUCUUUACAUUAUUGGUUUAGAAUUUGUCGUGUGCUCUAUCAAAUAAAGAGAAUACGCAUUAGACUACCAAAGGAUCCAAGACCGAGAAUAUGGAAGACUUCUAAACAUACAUCUAAUGUAUACGAAGAGACUUUCAUUACCGAUUUAGAUUAGAUUAAACACCGUGACUUCAUGUCUACGAAAAGAGACUGUGACAAUACUUAUAUUAUCAGUCCAAGUCAGAUUCAAGUAUACGAAAAACUAAUCAUUAAACGUCCAGGAGUACACGAAUCAUGACGUAAAUCUUUACUAACGCUCAUCUAAGAAGAUAUACAUACACAUUAACACAUGUGGUUUACCUCAGGAACUUUAAGUAAAGAUUGUAUCCCCUUCAUACAUAUUGGAAGACUACAUGCACCCAAAAAGUGUUAUGAAAAGGAUCCGGUACGACGUGAGUAGUAACUUUGAGGAUCGACACAUAAUCCAUCAUUAGUAAAACGGAUUAAAUAACGGUAGUUCACUUCGUUUCACACCAGAAAAGGUGGGGUCUCUUCUUUUUCUUUCUUUUGAUACGUCAGAAAAGAUGUUCUUACCGAAAGCACACAGGCAGGCACCUACACAACGAGGGUUAUUAACCCGCAGACCUGUAAGAUUUAACAACGGAACACAGGUCUACUAUGUGGUACAUUAUAUGAAGGACCAGACGCCGAACACCUCUAACUAUGUCCGAUGUACCACCCAGUCACACCGUAACUACAAAAUAAUACGGAUUGUGUAGUGUCUAAGUUUAAUCUUGUACAACACCGUAAUAAGACUUGUACGGCACAAAAAUAUUAUGAUUUUAGGGUGUCAAACAAAAACGGUAACUACGAAAUAUGUUAAUAAUAAAAACGGUAAUAGAGAUACUUGCGUACUUAAGUGGCCACUGAAAAAAUAGGAAACAUCCUUACUGUAUGUUCUAAUGCUCCUCCCUUGGUACUUAUACCGUCAAACGUAGUCGAUCUGUAAAACACAUUACCUCAUUUUUAUUACACAGAAAAUCCAUAUUAAAACAUUUGGAUAUACCACAGAACAGUUGACCCAUAAAACACAUUACCUCGUUUGCUACUUAGUGGACCUGUACGUAUAUAGUAAAACAUUUGGAUAGUCCACGGAGUCACUGUCUUUGUAUUUACAAAGGAGGAAAGACAAUCAAUGGAAAUAGAUAUUCUUAUAAGAAGAAAACAAGAC
rnacentral:rRNA from 1 species